AUCCUUUUCCAGUUCAUAAGCAUGAUAAUUGGCUUGUCACGCACUUGAGUGACAUGUGUACCCUCUAAACCCUGUUACAUGUGGGCACAUUACCCAUCUGACA